rnacentral:rRNA from 1 species
UACGUAGGGUGCAAGCGUUGUCCGGAAUUAUUGGGCGUAAAGAGCUCGUAGGCGGUCUGUCGCGUCUGCUGUGAAAACCUAGGGCUUAACUCUGGGCGUGCAGUGGGUACGGGCAGGCUAGAGUGCGGUAGGGGAGACUGGAAUUCCUGGUGUAGCGGUGAAAUGCGCAGAUAUCAGGAGGAACACCGAUGGCGAAGGCAGGUCUCUGGGCAUUAACUGACGCUGAGGAGCGAAAGCAUGGGGAGCGAACAGG